GGAUCACCAGGGCCACAAGGUCGGCCCCGACCACCCCCAAAUCACCUCUGCAGUCGCUCACAUGGACAGAGUACUUGGCCGCCUGAUCACCGGGCUGGAAGAAAGAGGGAUCUUUGAGGGCGUCAACCUGAUUCUUGUUGGUGAUCAUGGAAUGGUCGGCACUUGCGAUAAGAAACUCGUCUUUCUUGAGGAUUUAUCACCAUGGAUACAAAUCCCGACUAGCUGGAUACAUUCUCUGAGUCCUUUGCUCGCUAUCCGGCCACCAGAAGAUGUCUCUCCUGAUGAAGUUGUAGCAAAG
rnacentral:misc_RNA from 1 species